UGGCAUAUAGCUCAAUCGGCAGAGCAGCGCACUGUUAAUGCGCCGGUUGGAGGUUCGAGUCCUCCUAUGCCAGCUA
rnacentral:tRNA from 1 species